UACAGAGGUCCCGAGCGUUUGUUCGGAAUUAUUGGGCGUAAAGAGCUCGUAGGCGGUGUGUCGCGUCGGCCGUGAAAACCUGCAGCUUAACUGUGGGCUUGCGGUCGAUACGGGCAUCACUGGAGUUCGGCAGGGGAGACUGGAAUUCCUGGUGUAGCGGUGAAAUGCGCAGAUAUCAGGAGGAACACCGGUGGCGAAGGCGGGUCUCUGGGCCGAUACUGACGCUGAGGAGCGAAAGCGUGGGGAGCGAACAGG
rnacentral:rRNA from 1 species